rnacentral:rRNA from 1 species
UCGGGAAUUUUGGGCAAUGGGCGAAAGCCUGACCCAGCAACGCCGCGUGAAGGAUGAAGUAUUUCGGUAUGUAAACUUCGAAAGAAUAGGAAGAAUAAAUGACGGUACUAUUUAUAAGGUCCGGCUAACUACGUGCCAGCAGCCGCGGUAAUACGUAGGGACCAAGCGUUGUUCGGAUUUACUGGGCGUAAAGGGCGCGUAGGCGGCAAUUCAAGUCAUCUGUGAAAUCUCCGGGCUUAACUCGGAACGGUCAGAUGAUACUGCUUUGCUAGAGUGCAGAAGGGACAAUCGGAAUUCUUGGUGUAGCGGUGAAAUGCGUAGAUAUCAAGAGGAACACCUGAGGUGAAGACGGGUUGCUGGGCUGACACUGACGCUGAGGCGCGAAAGCCAGGGGAGCAAACGGGAUUAGAUACCCAUGUAGUCCCUG